rnacentral:lncRNA from 1 species
UGGUCACUGAAGGUACAGGGAGUCAACAUCAAUAUAUCUGGUCACUGAAGGUACAGGGAGUCAAUAUAUCUGGUCACUGAAGGUACAGGGAGUCAAUAUAUCUGGUCACUGAAGGUACAGGGAGUCAAUAUAUCUGGUCACUGAAGGUACAGGGAGUCAAUAUAUCUGGUCACUGAAGGUACAGGGAGUCAACAUCAAUAUAUCUGGUCACUGAAGGUACAGGGAGUCAACAUCAAUAUAUCUGGUCACUGAAGGUACAGGGAGUCAACAUCAAUAUAUCUGGUCACUGAAGGUGCAGGGAGUCAACAUCAAUAUAUCUGGUCACUGAAGGUGCAGGGAGUCAACAUCAAUAUAUCUGGUCACUGAAGGUACAGGGAGUCAACAUCAAUAUAUCUGGUCACUGAAGAUACAGGGAGUCAACAUCAAUAUAUCUGGUCACUGAAGGUACAGGGAGUCAACAUCAAUAUAUCUGGUCACUGAAGGUACAGGGAGUCAACAUCAAUAUAUCUGGUCACUGAAGGUGCAGGGAGUCAACAUCAAUAUAUCUGGUCAGAUGUUGCUUAACAGAUAUUUAUACUGAUGUUUUUUCCUGUGUGUGUUGUAACAGACCUCCUUCCCGUGCUAAAGAAGCGUGUGUGUGUGUGUGUGUGUGUGUUGUAACAGACCUCCUUCCCGUGCUAAAGAAGUGUGUGUGUGUGUGUGUGUGUGUGUUGUAACAGACCUCCUUCCCGUGCUAAAGAAGCGUGUGUGUGUGUGUUGUAACAG